UUAAAAGUUAGUGUCUCACGUCUAUUUUUGAUUUAGAAAAAGGUAUCUAUAAUUGAGGUAUUACUUUUAAA
rnacentral:tRNA from 1 species